rnacentral:rRNA from 1 species
CCUACGGGAGGCAGCAGUGGGGGAUAUUGCACAAUGGGGGAAACCCUGAUGCAGCGACGCCGCGUGUGGGAAGACGGUCCUCUGGAUUGUAAACCACUGUCCCCAGGGACGAAGAUGCUGGUACCUGGGGAGGAAGCUCCGGCUAACUACGUGCCAGCAGCCGCGGUAAUACGUAGGGAGCGAGCGUUGUCCGGAAUUACUGGGUGUAAAGGGAGCGUAGGGGGGGAUGAAAGUUGGGGGUCAAAACUACCGGCUCAACUGGUAGUCGCACUCAAAACUGCAGCUCUUGAGUGAAGUAGAGGCAGGCGGAAUUCCUGGUGUAGCGGUGAAAUGCGUAGAUAUUAGGAGGAACACCAGUGGCGAAGGCGGCCUGCUGGGCUUUUACUGACGCUGAGGCUCGAAAGUGUGGGGAGCAAACAGGAUUAGAUACCCUUGUAGUC